ACAUCAAAACUAUGGAAUCAUGUAGUAACCAAAACAGUGUUAAACAAAUCAAUAUAUAAUUUAUAUUUCAGAUUCUUUAAAGGAGCCACCCUUUGCCUUGAUGACAGCUUUGCACACUCUUGGCAUUCUCUCAGCCAGCUUCAUGAGGUUGUCACCUGGAAUCCAUUUCAAUUAACAGAUGUGCCUUGUCAAAAGUUCAUUUGUGGAAUUUCUUUCCUUAACUCUAGGGUAGGGGGCAGCAUUUGGAAUUUUGGAUGAAAAGCAUGCCCAAAUUAAACUGCCUGCUUCUCGGGCCCAGAAAAUAUGAUAUGCAUAUAACUGGUAGAUUUGGAUAGAGAGCACUCUAACGUUUCCACAACUGUUAAAAUAGUGUCUGUGAGUAUAACAGAACUGAUUUGGCAGGUGAAAACCUGAAAUACAUUCAGGAAGUAGUUUUUUGGGGGGGUUUUGUAGUUUUCUAUUCAAUGCCAUUACAGUAUCCCUUGACUUAGGACUCAAUUCCUAUGCCUUCCACUAGAUGUCAACAGUCUUUAGAAAUGGUUUCAGGCUUGUAUUCUGAAAAAUGAGGAAGUAAGAGCAGUCUGAAUGAGGUGACCCUAAAGUGUCACAGAGCUUUUUCAUGCAUGAGACCGAGAGAGUGCCUUUCUUGUUUACAUUUUAUAUUGACGACGUUAUUGUCCGGUUGAAAUAUUACCGAUUAUUUAGGCUAAAAACAACCUGAGGAUUGAAUAUAAACAUCGUUUGACAUGUUUCUAUAAACUUUACGGAUACAAUUUUGAUUUGUCUGCCUGUUUUGACUGCGUUUGAGCCUGUGGAUUACUGAAGAAAACAGAGGUUUUUGGAUAUAAAGAGACUUUAUCGAACAAAAGGAACAUUUAUUGAGUAAAUGAAUGUCUGCUGAGUGCAACCAUAUGAAGAUCAUCAAAGGUAAGGGAUUAAUUUUAUCUCUUUCUGACUUGUGUAACUCUUCUACUUAGCUGGUUACUGUUUGUAAUGAUUUGUCUAAUGGGCUAUGUUCUCAAAUAAUCGUAAGGUAUGCUUUCGCCAUAAAGCAUUUUUAAAAUCUGACACCGUGGUUGGAUUCACAAGAAGUUAAUCUUUAAACCUAUGUAAAAUAUGUUUUGUUUUCUGAAUUUUUUAUAAUUAGUAUUUCUGUAUUUGAAUUUGGCGCCCAGCAGUUUCACUGGCUGUUGAAGAGGUGGGAUGCUAACGUCUCACGUACCCAAGAGAGGUUAAUGCGUUUGAGCCAAUCAGUUGUAUUGUGACAAGGUAGGGCUGGUAUACAGAAGAUAGCUCUGUCUGGUAAAAUACCAAGUCCAUAUUAUGGCAAGAACAGCUCGAAUAAGCAAAGAGAAACAACAGUCCAUCAUUGCUUUAAGACAUGAAGGUCAAUCAAUCCAGAAAAUGUCAAGAACUUUUUAAAGUUUCCUCAAGUGCAGUCGCAAAAACCAUCAAGCGCUAUAAUGAAACUGGCUCUCAUGAGGACCGCCACAGGAGAGGAAGACCCAGAGUUACCUCUGCUGCAGAGGAUAAGUUCAUUAGGGUUAACUGCACAUCAGAUUGCAGCCCAAAUAAAUGCUUCACAGAGUUCAAGUAACAGACACAUCUCAACAUCAACUGUUCAGAGGAGACUGCUUGAAUCAGGCCUUUAUGGUCAAAUUGCUGCAAAGAAACCACUACUAAAGGACACCAAUAAGAGGAAGAGGCUUGCUUGGACCAAGAAACUCAAGCAAUGGAAUUUAGACCUUGUGGAAAUCUGUCCUUUGUUCUGAUGAGUCCAAAUUUGAGAUUUUUGGUUCCAACCGCCGUAUCUUUGUGAGACGCAGAGUAGGUGAACGGAUGAUCGCCGCAUGUGUCGUUUACACCAUGAAGCAUGGAGGAGGUGAUGUGGGGUGCUUUAGUGUCACCACCGUCAGUAAUUUAUUUAAAAUUCAAAGUACACUUAACCAGCAUGGCUACCACAGCAUUCUGCAGCGAUACACCAUCCCAACUGGCUUGCACUUUUUCCCACUAUCAUUUUGUUUUUCAACAGGACCAAUGAAGGAGAGUGGAGUGCUGCAUCAGAUGACCUGGCCUACACAAUCACCCGACCUCAACCCAAUUGAGAUGGUUUGGGAUAAGUUGGACCGCAGAGUGAAGGAAAAGCAGUCAACAAGUGCUCAGCGUAUGUGGGAACUUCUUCAAGACUGUUGGAAAAGCAUUUCAGACACACACGGUGGAGAGGAUUGGAUUUGUGAAGAUACUGAUGGGGUUGCACAGCUGCACGGAGGGAGCAAAAGCCGAUUUCCCCCUCUGCACCUCCCCAUCCCCACAACGGGACUACCGCCUCUCUCUCUCUCUCUUUCUCUCUCUCUCUUUCCGAGGAGUGGGGGUGGGGGCCGCCGUAUGGGAGCUCAGAAACAUGGAGUGGAUCCGAGGAGGGAGAGAGGGGAAUCUUUUUCCUCCUGGUGCUCGAUGUGGUGCUCUGCUCUGCAUAGUGAGAGGAAGAGAGUGAGAAAUGAACAUGGGUGACUCCUUACCCUGAAAGGCACACGAUCAACAAGAGCAAAGAGGAGGAGGUAGCGGAGGUGUAGGGGAGGGGGUGACAGAAGGGAGGCCGUUCCUCAGAUGGAGCAGGGCGCUCUCUUUUCGUCUCCCCUCAUCAUUGGUAUGCAGUGACUGUUCCCCAGGCGACAGGGCCACUGGGUUGGGGCUAAACUGACUGCAGGAGGAGAGUCGGGUCUACAGAGUAAAUGAGAGGAGAGCAAGACAGCAGGUAAGGGUAAUGAGAACAGGCAGAGAGAGGGAGGAGGACAAGAGAAAGGCGGUUGGGAAGCUAGAUGUCCCAAGGGGCUUUUGGGGGUGAGGCACCGCCUGACCCCUCACACUCCGUACACUGUCCAGGCCCACACACACACACAUAUUAAUGCUUAAACUCCCGACCAGAUACAUUAUGUUCAAGUGCACAUCAUGUAUCCAAAAAGCAAUAACAUAUGAGUUAGGCUAAUGUUUUUGUUUUGCAAGAGCUUUUAUGACUAUAUAGUGAUAAUGUAAUGUUUCUUGAGAUGCAUGCAUAUGAUUUCCUAAAAUAUUUGUAUCUAUGUUAUUCCAUAAAACAUGAAUCUUUAAAAAAAAAAAUAUUUGAAUAUUGUGUAAAGAAAGCAAGUGAUGGAAAGCAAAUAGUGUAAAAUGUCAUUACAAAUAAAAAGUGUGAAAAUAAACUGAUGAAUAUUA